UUGUAGCCGAUGUUCCACAGGGGGCCCA
rnacentral:sRNA from 1 species